rnacentral:rRNA from 1 species
ACCUUCCUACGGGAGGCAGCAGUGGGGAAUAUUGCACAAUGGGGGGAACCCUGAUGCAGCAAUGCCGCGUGGGUGAAGAAGCAGUCCGGUGCGUAAAUCCCUGUCAGCAGGGAAGAAAAUGCCAGUACCUGGACAAGAAGCCCCGGCUAACUACGUGCCAGCAGCCGCGGUAAUACGGAGGAUGCGAGCGUUAUCCGGAUUUAUUGGGUUUAAAGGGUGCGCAGGCGGAAUGUCAAGUCAGCGGUAAAAUUUCGGGGCUCAACCCCGGCGUGCCGUUGAAA